rnacentral:rRNA from 1 species
UACGUAGGGUGCGAGCGUUGUCCGGAAUUAUUGGGCGUAAAGGGCUCGUAGGCGGUCUGUUGCGUCAGGAGUGAAAACUCGGGGCUUAACCCCGAGCCUGCUUCUGAUACGGGCAGACUAGAGGUAUGCAGGGGAGAACGGAAUUCCUGGUGUAGCGGUGAAAUGCGUAGAUAUCUGGAGGAACACCGGUGGCGAAGGCGGCAUCCUGGACCAAUACUGACGCUGAGGAGCGAAAGCCAGGGGAGCAAACGGG